rnacentral:misc_RNA from 1 species
GAUGAAGAACGCAGCAAAAUGCGAUAAGUAAUGUGAAUUGCAGAAUUCAGUGAAUCAUCGAAUCUUUGAACGCACAUUGCGCCCGCUGGUAUUCCGGCGGGCAUGCCUGUUCGAGCGUCAUUUCAACCCUCAAGCCCCCCGGGUUUGGUGUUGGGGAUCGGCUCUGCCUCACGGCGGAGCCGCCCCCGAAAUACAUUGGCGGUCUCGCUGCAGCCUCCAUUGCGUAGUAGCUAACACCUCGCAACUGGAACGCGGCGCGGCCAUGCCGUAAAACCCCAACUUCUGAAUGUUGACCUCGGAUCAGGUAGGAAUACCCGCUGAACUUAAGCAUAUCAAUAAGCGGAGGA